UACAGAGGUCUCAAGCGUUGUUCGGAUUCAUUGGGCGUAAAGGGUGCGUAGGCGGCGCGGUAAGUCGGGUGUGAAAUUUCGAGGCUUAACUUCGAAACUGCAUUCGAUACUGCCGUGCUUGAGGACUGGAGAGGAGACUGGAAUUUACGGUGUAGCGGUGAAAUGCGCAGAUAUCAGGAGGAACACCGGUGGCGAAGGCGGGUCUCUGGGCCGAUACUGACGCUGAGGAGCGAAAGCGUGGGGAGCGAACAGG
rnacentral:rRNA from 1 species